rnacentral:misc_RNA from 1 species
UACGGAGGAUCCAAGCGUUAUCCGGAAUUACUGGGCGUAAAGAGUUGCGUAGGUGGCAGUGUAAGUUGGUAGUGAAAGCGUGUGGCUCAACCAUACAUCCAGUACCAAAACUGCACAGCUAGAGGACGAGAGAGGUAGAUGGAAUUCCUAGUGUAGGGGUAAUAUCCGUAGAUAUUAGGAAGAACACCGAUGGCGUAGGCAGUCUACUGGCUCGUACCCGACACUAAGGCACGAAAGCGUGGGGAGCAAACAGG